rnacentral:rRNA from 1 species
AGCUUGCUUUGAGAGUUCUUAGUGGCGGACGGGUGAGUAACGCGUGGGCAACCUCCCCCUUAAACCGGGACAACCCUUGGAAACGAGGGCUAAUACCGGAUACGCUUUUCUGAGGACAUCCUCGGGAAAGGAAAGGCGGCCUCUGAAGAUGCUGCCGAUAAGGGAUGGACCCGCGUCUGAUUAGCUGGUUGGUGGGGUAAAGGCCUACCAAGGCGACGAUCAGUAGCCGGCCUGAGAGGGUGAACGGCCACACUGGGACUGAGACACGGNCCA